rnacentral:tRNA from 1 species
GCCUGAGUGGCUCAGUCGGUUAAGCGUCUGACUUUGGCUCAGGUCAUGAUCUCACGGUUCGUGGGUUCAAGCCCCACGUCGGGCU